AGCGAGAACACAUAGGAACUCGGGCCCCUUCCCGAUCCUCCACCCUUGCCACCUCCUCCGCCGCCCCGGCGGGCCGCGGUCUUCCGCGGCCGCCCUCCGAUUUUGGGGGGUGGCUAGUGCCCGCCAAAGAAAUCAGUCACCAAUCGUUGCACGUUGCAAUCUGAUUAAAUAUACUAAAACUUUCAACAACGGACCUCUUGGCUCUGGGGCCUAUGAAAAACGCAGCGGACUGCGAUAAGUUAUGAGAAUUGUGAAAUUCAGUGAAUCAUCAAACCUUUGAACUCUCAUUGCGCCCCGUGGUCUUCCGGGGGGCCUGCAUGUAUCGAGCGUCAUUUUCAACCUUUAAGCUUUUGCUUUGGUAUUGUGCACCGUCCUUUGCGUUCGCGCCUCAGAGACCUCGGCGGUGGCGUCUUGCCUCACGCGUACUAGAAUACACGGGCGCUUCGGAGCGUAAGGCGUCGCCCGCCGGACGAACCUUCUGAGCUUUUCUCAGGGUUGACCUCGGAUCAGGUAGGGAUACCCCGCUGAACUUAAGCA
rnacentral:rRNA from 1 species